rnacentral:lncRNA from 1 species
GAUCAUACGUGUGCGACAUCAAACCUGUGGGGGGGUCACACGUGUGCAAAGCCAUACUUGUGCAUGCAAGGUCAUACGUGUGCAAGUUCAUAUGUGUGUACGUGGGAUCAUACAUGUGCAGGAUCAUACGUGUGCGAGGUCAAACCUGUGUGUGUGGGGUCACACGUGUGCAAAGCCAUACGUGUGCGUGCAAGGUCAUACGUGUGCAAGACGGUAAGCGUGCACGCGAGGUCAUACAUGUGCGAGGUCACACAUGUGCGUGCAGGAUCAUACGUGUGCAAGAUCAUACGUGUGCGACGUCAAACCUGUGGGGGGGUCACACGUGUGCAAAGCCAUACGUGUGCGUGCAAGGUCAUACGUGUGCAAGGCNNNNNNNNNNNNNNNNNUCAUACAUGUGCGUGCAGGAUCAUACGUGUGCAAGAUCAUACGUGUGCGAGGUCAAACCUGUGGGGGGGAUCGCACGUGUGCAAAGCCAUACGUGUGCGUGCAAGGUCAUACGUGUGCAAGUUCAUAUGUGUGUACGCAGGAUCAUACGUGUGCAAGAUCAUACGUGUGCGAGGUCAAACCUGUGUGUGUGGGGUCACACGUGUGCGAAGCCAUACGUGUACAUGCAAGGUCAUACGUGUGCAAGGCGGUAAGCGUGCGCGUGAGGUCAUACAUGUGCGAGGUCACACAUGUGCGUGCAAGGCCAUACGUGUGCAAGUUCAUCCGUGCUCACGUGGGGUCCUACCUGUGGGUGGUGGUGGCUCUGCGUGUCGACACGCGUGCACACGUGUGCUUGCACACGCGUGUGCUGAUUCCGUGUGCGCCGGCAGUUCCGGGACCCGGUGCACGGAGAGUGGUUCGGUUACCUGGCCUACGAUGGCAGCGUCGCCCUCAGCAUCAAGGGGGGGCCGUACAAAGGCUGCUUCCACCUCCCGCGGGCGCUGCUGAUGUGUGAGGAGCUGCUGGAUGAGCUGCUGCCCCACUACCAGUAGAGGGCGCAGAAACCCCAAAAAGGGCAGAAAUUGCCCCAAAAUGGGUCCCAAAAUCCCAAAAGGGUCCCAAAAAACCCUAAAAGGACCCAAAAAAACCCAAAAAUGGCAGAAAUUGCCCCAAAAAGGACCCAAAAAAAGGCAAAAAGGACCCAAAAAAAGCCCAAAAUUGGCCCCAAAAGGGCCCACAAAAACCCCAAAAAGGGCAGAAAUUGCCCCAAAAUGGGCCCCCAAAAUCCCAAAAGGGCCCCCAAAAAACCCUAAAAGGGCCCCAAAAAACCCUAAAAUGGCAGAAAUUGCCCCAAAAAGGGCCCACAAAAACCCCAAAAAGGGCAGAAAUUGCCCCAAAAUGGGCCCCCAAAAUCCCAAAAGGGCCCCAAAAAAACCCUAAAAUUGCCCCAAAAAACCCUAAAAUGGCAGAAAUUGCCCCAAAAAGGGCCCCCCAAAAACCCCAAAAAGGGCCUCAAGAAACCCCAAAGGGCCCCAAAAACCCUAAAGAGAGAAAAAAAAACCCUAAAAGGACCAAAAUUGCCCCAAAAAGGACCCAA